rnacentral:rRNA from 1 species
UACGUAGGGGGCUAGCGUUGUCCGGAUUUAUUGGGCGUAAAGAGCGUGUAGGCGGCCAGGUAGGUCUGCUGUGAAAUCCCGAGGCUCAACCUCGGGUCUGCAGUCGAUACGAGCAAACUAGAGUGUUGCAGGGGAGACUGGAAUUCCUGGUGUAGCGGUGAAAUGCGUAGAUAUCGGGAGGAACACCAGUGGCGAAGGCGGCUUCCUGGCCUGUUCUUGACGCUGAGGCGCGAAAGCUAGGGGAGCAAACAGG